CCUGGAUUGUCAAGGCCUAUGGAGUUGACAGCUCAGCAAUGUUCUGGCGAGUGUGUCACAUCUGUAUACCUUUGUAAUGCACCCGCAGAUUAUUCUGUGAGAGCCCGAUGUAGCUGUAUUUAUCCUUGGGGCUCCAAGAUCGGGGUCAUGGCAGGCAGCAUCAUGUUGUGGGGGUGCUUUGCUGCAGGAGGGACUGGUGCACUUCACACAAUAUAUGGCAUCAUGAGGAAGAAAAAUUAUGUGCAUAUAUUGAAGCAACAUCUCAAGACAUCAGCCAGGAAGUUAAUGACCCCAAGCAUACCUUCAGAGUUGUGGCAAAAUUGCUUAAGGACAACAAAAUCAAGUUAUUGGAGUGGUCAUCACAAAGCCCUGACCUCAAUCUGAUAGAAAAUGUGUGGGCAGAACUGAAAAAGCAUGUGCGAGCAAGGAGGCCUACAAACAUGACUCAGUUACACCAGUUCUGUCUGGAGGAAUGGGCCAAAAUUCCAGCAAUUAUUGUGAGAAGCUUGUGGAAGGCUACCCAAAAUGUUUGACCCAAGUUAAACAAUUUAAAGGCAAUGCAACCAAAUACUAACAAAGUGUAUGUAAACUUCUGACCCACUGGGAAUGUGAUGAAAGAAAUAAAAGCUAAAAUAAUA